AUCAUGGCUCAGGAUGAACGCUAGCUACAGGCUUAACACAUGCAAGUCGAACGGAACUCAUUGGAUCAAGGCUUCGGCCAAGUGAAUUUGAGUUUAGUGGCGGACGGGUGAGUAACGCGUGAGGAACCUGCCUUUCAGAGGGGGACAACAGUUGGAAACGACUGCUAAUACCGCAUAACGCGUAGAGGUCGCAUGGCCUUUACGCCAAAGAUUUAUCGCUGAAAGAUGGCCUCGCGUCUGAUUAGCUAGUUGGUGAGGUAACGGCCCACCAAGGCGACGAUCAGUAGCCGGACUGAGAGGUUGACCGGCCACAUUGGGACUGAGAUACGGCCCAGACUCCUACGGGAGGCAGCAGUGGGGAAUAUUGCACAAUGGGCGCAAGCCUGAUGCAGCAACGCCGCGUGAGGGAAGACGGUUUUCGGAUUGUAAACCUCUGUCCUAAGUGAAGAGCAGAAGACGGUAGCUUAGGAGGAAGCCCCGGCUAACUACGUG
rnacentral:rRNA from 1 species